UAGGGAAUCUUCGGCAAUGGGGGCAACCCUGACCGAGCAACGCCGCGUGAGUGAAGAAGGUUUUCGGAUCGUAAAGCUCUGUUGUAAGUCAAGAACGGGUGUGAGAGUGGAAAGUUCACACUGUGACGGUAGCUUACCAGAAAGGGACGGCUAACUACGUGCCAGCAGCCGCGGUAAUACGUAGGUCCCGAGCGUUGUCCGGAUUUAUUGGGCGUAAAGCGAGCGCAGGCGGUUUGAUAAGUCUGAAGUUAAAGGCUGUGGCUCAACCAUAGUUCGCUUUGGAAACUGUCAAACUUGAGUGCAGAAGGGGAGAGUGGAAUUCCAUGUGUAGCGGUGAAAUGCGUAGAUAUAUGGAGGAACACCGGUGGCGAAAGCGGCUCUCUGGUCUGUAACUGACGCUGAGGCUCGAAAGCGUGGGGAGCGAACAGGAUUAGAUACCCUGGUAGUCCACGCCGUAAACGAUGAGUGCUAGGUGUUGGAUCCUUUCCGGGAUUCAGUGCCGAAGCUAACGCAUUAAGCACUCCGCCUGGGGAGUACGACCGCAAGGUUGAAACUCUAAAGUGAAUUGACGGGGUCA
rnacentral:rRNA from 1 species